rnacentral:misc_RNA from 1 species
AAUAUAUAAAAUAUAUAUAUUUAUAAAAUAAGUGAAAUGCAGGUCGAUAAUAAAUCACGUAGAUAAAAUUUUUCCCGUUAAUCAAUACUGGCUCAGAAUUUCAUUACAUUUUACAAAGCUUUGAGUAUCAGACAUAUAUCAUAUCAUCUCUGUCAACAUCAACGGUACCAAAUUAAAGAGGGGUUCUGACAAACCUUUGGCAAUCCUAAAUGCAAACAAUACCAAGGUUGAAAGCACUCACUUCGCAAGAUAUGACUCUACAACAUCAGCCCUGUUGCCUUUCAUAACCUUCUAGUAGACUCCACCUCUACUUUUGUUGGAUCCGACUCUCCAUUCAAUGAGCUUAUUCAUUGCAAUGCUUCUUAGUUCUCAUAUAUAUGAGAGGCCAAGCACAGAAUUGGCCAAGCAUCACAGUAAGGGUUGCUAACGUGUAAUUGAUCUACAAACUAGACGACCAAUUGAAACCAAAAAACCUGGUGACAGUACACUGCAGAAGCACAAUAGUAAGGCAAAGACUAGAAUAGCUGAAAAGAAUUGGGAUAACAUGUGCCCCUGUCCUCCCUCACAACUUCCCUUAAAAUGCAUGCUGGACCAAAAAUGAGAGUAAAACAGGCACAUAUACCAAGAAGCAGACAAUCAUAGUAUUCGGGAUAGUUAUAAACAUAGAUUAUAGACGGCACACACCCCUUGUUAGAUACAUAUGCAUGCAACCAAUCUCCUCAUUUCAACGUUAAUCAUCAUAACAAUACAUCCAAAUCAAACAAUACUAGCCUAGGCAGAUCAUUGAACUAAGCGAAUACCACUAUCAGCUGAAUGUCCAACCCAAAAUCAUCAGUAAAGGAUAAUCAGUAUCACCCUCUAGCAUUUGGGUCAUAGCCAGUGAUUACUCAAGUUUGAACUAUUACUAUCACUACAGAGCGACCUGCCUUUAAACCAACAAUUCAUAUCAACCAGUGUGCUCGGUCUUCAUGUCACUAUGCCACUGCCAUCACAUCAUAAUAAAUAAUAAUAUUAGUCAUUUAUAGCAUUCAUUCACUAUAUCCUCGGUUCAAAACUUGAAGAUGCCUCAGGGCAUCAUAUCCAUCCAUGCGCUUAAUUACAAUAAUUUAAAUGAGAUGCAAUGCAUGUUAUGUCUUACGAGGGAAUAAGCAAUAGGAUGUAUACUAAAAUAGAUCAAGUCCACUAACAAAUUCAAUAACCACAAGCUUGCUCAACCCUAAUAGGCAUUUGAUGGAUAAAGAGUGGUGUCCAAAGGAUCUAGCAAAAUAAACCAAUAACACAUAUCAAAAAGGAGUGAGAGUGAACUCCAAAAGGAGUACUAGUCAAUUGUGGACAUCUUAAACUUCUCAUCCCAAAUCAAUCCUAAUUCGAUAACUGAUGUAUUUUCAAUUAAGAAGUAGAGGCAAAGCUAAGUUGAUUGUCACAUCUCCCUUUUGAAAUGGACGGUCAAAGUAUUAAUAGCCCCCCCAACUAUCAAAUGCAGGGGGAAAAAUAGCAUUUCACUUCUAACUAGAUUGAUUUGAGCAAUUACAAAAUUACUUCACCUUCCUUGCCCCCAAUCCAACAUGUAAAAUCAGCACUAUUAAGCAACAUUAUCACUAAAGAAAAAAAGGACUAACCAAACUCAGUACUAAAGUAAAAGUGGAAAAACCUUCAGCAAUGAUUUUUCUCUCCCAUUAAUUAAACAAGCUUUAGUUUCAUUUCAAAAGAGUUCAAACCUAGUCUACACAACAUUAGGUUUUUAGCGGCCAAGUGCCAACAUUAGCUUCCCAGCUUCAAGGAACAACAUCAAGUAGAUCUCUAAGGGGGGAAAAAAAUAGGAACAUUAAAGUGGUUGUUUAUGUUAAAAUAGGUAAGUUUAAUUAAUCAAUGUUAAAUAGACAAGUUCAUUUAAUCAUUUUACCACUUCUGAUAGUUGGCUUUUUGAAAUGAUUAUCAUAUUCCAUUACAAAACUGAUUCUUAGGAUCUGAAUUCCAAAUCCCUUCUUUUAUUUGCCCAACAUUUUUAUCAAUCUUAAGCUGUUUUAAGUCCAUCCUUCAUUAGCUUAAUUGUCUUCAAUAGAUUCAUUUUCUCCACAAGACUAAUCCCAACAUAAACAAAAAACAAUGUGUCCAAGAGACGAGGGUGAAUUGGACAAUAAUCUUAAGCUUGCAUAAAUCCCUUUUUGACAAACCAAGCAAAUAUUCAAUCAAGCAUCUACCACAAGUAUAUCGAGCAAUUUUAAAUUUGAAGUGCUGAAAAUUAACGAGUGAAGAGAAUAGCAAACAAAUCCUUAUAGACGCCAUACGAAUGCUUGCCUGCCUGUUAUUAUUGUUUACUAACUCUAUUAGCAGCAUAUGACUAAUCCAAUCACACUUAAGAUGCAAUAAACAAUCUCUUAGCAUAACUUCUAGAAUAUUAUUUGUUCUCUUUGUAUGCCUAUCAAUAUGAGGAUCAGUUACAAGCGAAAUUUCUAAUUUCUCCCUGUACAAUACUACAAACUUCUUCAAAACUUUAAGACAAAUUGAGCAUCUAUAUCAGGCACAAUCCUUAUUAGAACUCCAGGUAAACAAUUAUCACUUUAUUAAACUAUUGGUAAAUUAUCACACCUUAGGUCAGUGUUGUCAAAAGCGCUAGAAGCCCUUAAAACAAAAUGGUCCUCCAUCGCUCAAGGCUCCAAGCACUUGCCUAGGCGCUUGCCCAAGUGAAGUGAGGCGCAAAUUCAUUCUAAAAUAAUAAAUAAUUAAAUAUACAAUGUAAAAAAAUCUUACAUGUUAUACAAUCCAUGAAUUGCUCGCCUUUUUCUCGUCUGGGGGCUCCUGGUGACGCUUCGCUUGGGCGCCUAGUUGAAGGAACCUUGCCUAGAGGCUUCCUAGGCAAGAUGUCUAGAUUUCGCGUUGCCUGGGCGCCUCUUGACAACACUGCCAUUUUGGCUGUGGCAAUAGGGAUCCCUAAAACUAAUGUUCGGAUUUGGACUAUCAUUUAUGGUGCUCUUUUAUUGAUUAAAAUUUGCCUACCUCUUGAAGGUUAUGCAUUCUUAGGUAAUUUCCCUUGCACUGCUCCUAGAAGUUCUUAUGAUGAGCUGUUUCCUGUGUUUAUAUGAUGGCAUUAAUUAGUUGACUAUUGCACUAUUUAAAUUAUUUGUAAUGUUUCACAAAAAUCGUUUAGAGUGGAGAAAGAGAAUCCAUAUAGCCGACCCUAAUAAAUUUUUGAGAUAAAAACUUAGUUUAGUUGAGUUGGGUUGUGCUUGUUGCUUGUUGGGCAUUCUACGAAUCAAUUCUUUGAGUUUUGCUCUCGGCCUCUUGCUUGGAGUUGUAAGACUGUACAGAAGUGUGUUUGUUGUGCAUUCUUGAAAAACUGAUGUUCCGAACUGAUCUGAUUUGGUUUGGUUCGGUUUGAUUUGGUUCUUCUCUUAUUUCGGUUCGGUUUCAGUUGGUAUUUUACAUGAAAUCGGUUUUUGGUUUUAUGAACAGGCCAAAUGCUCUCUCCUAGUCACUUUCAUUAUUUUUUAUGAUUGUGUUGUGAGUGCAAGUAUGUCCAAAUUGGUUUGCUUUUGCUUUAGCUGCCUUUGAUUUAUAGCCUUUCUCAGUUGUUUUAAUCUUGUGUUGGCUUUUAAGUAUAUAAGCUUUUGGGCUUAUGUUGAAGGCUUUUGUUGCUAAGUGCAUCUCAGUUUAAUCCUUUUAAUGUAGGUAAGCACAGUGAGUGGGUACACGCAGGAAAUAUAAUUUAAACCAUUGGAGUGUUACCGUCCCAAAGUAAUCACUUUAAAU